rnacentral:rRNA from 1 species
UACGUAGGCAGCGAGCGUUUGUUCGGAGUUACUGGGCGUAAAGGGUGUGUAGGCGGUUGUUUUAAGUUUGGUGUGAAAUCUCCCGGCUCAACUGGGAGGGUGCGCCGAAUACUGAAUGACUUCGAGUGCGGGAGAGGAAAGUGGAAUUCCUGGUGUAGCGGUGAAAAUGCGUAGAUAUCAGGAGGAACACCGGUGGUGUAGACGGCUUUCUGGACCGUAACUGACGCUGAGACACGAAAGCGUGGGUAGCAAACAGG